rnacentral:rRNA from 1 species
CAAUAGCGUAUAUUAAAGUUGUUGCGGUUAAAAAGCUCGUAGUUGGAUUUCUGCUGAGAACGACCGGUCCGCCCUUUGGGUGUGUAUCUGGCUCUUUCUUGGCAUCUUCUUGGUGAACGUUGCUGCACUUGACUGUGUGGAGCGCUACCCAGGACUUUUACUUUGAGGAAAUUAGAGUGUUUCAAGCAGGCAUACGCCUUGAAUACAUUAGCAUGGAAUAAUAAGAUAGGACCUCGGUUCUAUUUUGUUGGUUUCUAGAGCUGAGGUAAUGAUUAAUAGGGAUAGUUGGGGGCAUUCGUAUUUAACUGUCAGAGGUGAAAUUCUUGGAUCUGCUAAAGACGGACAAGUGCGAAAGCGUUCGCCCAGGAUGUUUUCAUUG